rnacentral:rRNA from 1 species
GACGAACGCUGGCGGCGUGCUUAACACAUGCAAGUCGAACGGAAAGGCCCUGCUUUUGUGGGGUGCUCGAGUGGCGAACGGGUGAGUAACACGUGAGUAACCUGCCCUUGACUUUGGGAUAACUUCAGGAAACUGGGGCUAAUACCGGAUAGGAGCUCCUGCUGCAUGGUGGGGGUUGGAAAGUUUCGGCGGUUGGGGAUGGACUCGCGGCUUAUCAGCUUGUUGGUGGGGUAGUGGCUUACCAAGGCUUUGACGGGUAGCCGGCCUGAGAGGGUGACCGGCCACAUUGGGACUGAGAUACGGCCCAGACUCCUACGGGAGGCAGCAGUGGGGAAUAUUGCACAAUGGGCGGAAGCCUGAUGCAGCAACGCCGCGUGCGGGAUGACGGCCUUCGGGUUGUAAACCGCUUUCGCCUGUGACGAAGCGUGAGUGACGGUAAUGGGUAAAGAAGCACCGGCUAACUACGUGCCAGCAGCCGCGGUGAUACGUAGGGUGCGAGCGUUGUCCGGAUUUAUUGGGCGUAAAGGGCUCGUAGGUGGUUGAUCGCGUCGGAAGUGUAAUCUUGGGGCUUAACCCUGAGCGUGCUUUCGAUACGGGUUGACUUGAGGAAGGUAGGGGAGAAUGGAAUUCCUGGUGGAGCGGUGGAAUGCGCAGAUAUCAGGAGGAACACCAGUGGCGAAGGCGGUUCUCUGGGCCUUUCCUGACGCUGAGGAGCGAAAGCGUGGGGAGCGAACAGGCUUAGAUACCCUGGUAGUCCACGCUGUAAACGGUGGGUACUAGGUGUGGGGUCCAUUCCACGGGUUCCGUGCCGUAGCUAACGCUUUAAGUACCCCGCCUGGGGAGUACGGCCGCAAGGCUAAAACUCAAAGGAAUUGACGGGGCCCCGCACAAGCGGCGGAGCAUGCGGAUUAAUUCGAUGCAACGCGUAGAACCUUACCUGGGUUUGACAUGGAUCGGGAGUGCUCAGAGAUGGGUGUGCCUCUUUUGGGGUCGGUUCACAGGUGGUGCAUGGCUGUCGUCAGCUCGUGUCGUGAGAUGUUGGGUUAAGUCCCGCAACGAGCGCAACCCUUGUUCACUGUUGCCAGCACGUUAUGGUGGGGACUCAGUGGAGACCGCCGGGGUCAACUCGGAGGAGGGUGGGGAUGACGUCAAGUCAUCAUGCCCCUUAUGUCCAGGGCUUCACGCAUGCUACAAUGGCUGGUACAGAGAGUGGCGAGCCUGUGAGGGUGAGCGAAUCUCGGAAAGCCGGUCUCAGUUCGGAUUGGGGUCUGCAACUCGACCUCACGAAGUCGGAGUCGCUAGUAAUCGCAGAUCAGCAACGCUGCGGUGAAUACGUUCCCGGG